rnacentral:rRNA from 1 species
AUUGAACGCUGGCGGCCGGCCUAACACAUGCAAGUCGAACGAGUGGCGGACGCGUGAGUCAUGUCUGGUAAACUGCCCGAUGGAGGGGGAUCCCUCCUGGAAACGGUAGAUAAUACCGCAUACCCUCGUCUUUGCCCAGCUGGUAUUAGCUAGGAGGUGGGGUAACGGCUCACCUAGGCGACGAUCCCUCUCUGGUCUGAGAGGAUGACCAGCCACACUGGAACUGAGACACGGUCCAGACUCCUACGGGAGGCAGCAGUGGGGAAUAUUGCACAAUGGGCGCAAGCCUGAUGCAGCCAUGCCGCGUGUAUGAAGAAGGCCUUCGGGUUGUAAAGUACUUUCAGCGAGGAGGCGUUACUCGCAGAAGAAGCACCGGCUAACUCCGUGCCAGCAGCCGCGGUAAUAC